GAUUGUGAGACUUAUGAUGGAAAAAAUGAUCAGGAGGUACUGAACGAGCCAGAGCAGCGCUUAUCAGAGCAGCAGUGGCUGACCUUAUGACAACCUCAUAAAAAUACGUCAUGGACCGUACACUACUUGCACAACCAGACAAGCAAGUCCUUCAGACUUGGCAUAGGUUAUCAAUGGAAAUCUGAGUUUCUGUGACUUCUCACACAGGAUAUUGCAUAACACCAGCCUUUAUGGAUGGCAUCCAAGAA